rnacentral:misc_RNA from 1 species
AAGUCGUAACAAGGUUUCCGUAGGUGAACCUGCGGAAGGAUCAUUAACACUUUUUUAUCCAAUAUUAAAAACUAAACGUGAACUUUUCCCCUCCCUAUAUUGAAGUAUUUUGAUAUAGGCUAACCUUUUUAAUUUUUAAUUUAAAACCACUUUAAAUUUUUAUUAAGUCUUUUGUAACAAGAAAGACUAACUAACUAAAAAUUUUAUUUAAGAUGUCAAGCAUUAAAAAAUGUUGGAUCUCUUAAUUUAAUAUUUUUUCUUUACGAAAUAAAAUAUUAGUAUAUAAGAACAACUCUUAGCAAUGGAUAUCUUGGUUCUC